rnacentral:rRNA from 1 species
UACGUAGGGUGCGAGCGUUGUCCGGAAUUAUUGGGCGUAAAGAGCUCGUAGGCGGUCUGUCGCGUCGGCUGUGAAAACCUGGGGCUCAACUCCGGGCCUGCAGCCGAUACGGGCUGACUAGAAUUCGGUAGGGGAGACUGGAAUUCCUGGUGUAGCGGUGAAAUGCGCAGAUAUCAGGAGGAACACCGGUGGCGAAGGCGGGUCUCUGGGCCGAUAUUGACGCUGAGGAGCGAAAGCGUGGGGAGCAAACAGG